rnacentral:rRNA from 1 species
UACGUAGGGACCAAGCGUUGUUCGGAUUUACUGGGCGUAAAGGGCGCGUAGGCGGCAAUUCAAGUCAUCUGUGAAAUCUCCGGGCUUAGCCCGGAACGGUCAGAUGAUACUGCUUUGCUAGAGUGCGGAAGGGGCAAUCGGAAUUCUUGGUGUAGCGGUGAAAUGCGUAGAUAUCAAGAGGAACACCUGAGGUGAAGACGGGUUGCUGGGCCGACACUGACGCUGACAGCGCGAAAGCCAGGGGAGCAAACGGG